CUGAUUACCUGAGGCGCUCGCGGCGGACGAGACGGAUUCCGUCUCUGUCGCCGAUGAUGAUACCCUCGCAGAAAUAAGAGGCGUAUCAAAAGGCACGAACCGGUACGCCGCUGAUGGAGCCAUUGGCGGGGGCAGUGGAUAAAUCGGCGUCCCUGAGUCAUCGACUACAGGUAUGGCCGGUAUCAUCCGCGGAAGGAAUAGGUGAGGCGGCGGCAUUUGUACCCCAGAUGACCCACUAUCCGAAGAAGUAGGAGCUGGAGUGGGGGCCCGGUGUAUCUCAGGCAUACGGGGUGCAGACACCUCCGUCUGAAGCUGAGAAAACAACUGCCUCGAGGAAUGAGGGAAGCCCCGCUGCCUCGAUGAAGGGGGCACCUCCGGCUGCCUCUACGCCGUCUCCAGAAGGCUCGCACGUCUGGCUGUCAUCUGGCCAUGAAACGUCGUUUGGGGGUUGCUAGAGGUUCCCUCAGACGAUUCGGACCUUUGGCCCUUCGAACUCUUCUUCGAUCUAAAAUAGCCGCUCAUCCUAUUUAAAAUAUUAAUUUGAAUCAAGCUGAGGCAACAUUGAAAAAGUAAAAAUUCAAGCUUAUCCUUCUCAAAUCUAAGGCUUUAGAUUAUUUUGUCUUUAUUGUAUAAAAAAAUAUUUUUAAAACCAUAUUUUUUCAUUAUGUCCAUGCUUAAAUUUAAACACUUAAUAUAAUGUGAAAUAUAUAUAUGUUUAAAAUUAUACUUAUUCAAAAAUAUGAAUUCAAUAAAUAUAUAUAUAUAUAUAUUCAUCCGGAUUUGAUAUAAGUUUUUCUAUUUUGUAUUUUGUAUCUUAUGUUUAAAAAUUCGUACCCAGCCCACGAUAAAACCAUUACUUAAUCAUGGAAUGCAAGCAUCAAGUUCAUUAUCAACAAAGCAUAUGUUUAAAAAAUAACGAUAAUUUAUCUCCUAAACAUAAAUUAGGGAAAUUAGACAGUACAUAAAACAUAAA
rnacentral:lncRNA from 1 species